rnacentral:rRNA from 1 species
CGGCAGACGGGUGAGUAACGCGUGGGAACAUACCUCUUGGUUCGGAACAACACAGGGAAACUUGUGCUAAUACCGGAUAAGCCCUUACGGGGGAAAGAUUUAUCGCCGAGAGAUUGGCCCGCGUCUGAUUAGCUAGUUGGUGAGGUAACGGCUCACCAAGGCGACGAUCAGUAGCUGGUCUGAGAGGAUGAUCAGCCACAUUGGGACUGAGACACGGCCCAA